rnacentral:lncRNA from 1 species
AACUCGCUCGUUGUAUGAGUGCAAAAUACUGCGCUGUCGCUUCUUUCCAUUCCAUUGAGUGUUGCUACUGCUGCUAUGAUUAUUACUAGCAAUCGCUAUUAUUUCGCAACACAACAACGUGAUCCAUGAAGAUACUAAGGAUUCAUUAAGGUAAUCGGUAUUGCCAAAGGGAUGAUGACAAGCGGCCUUUCCCGAUUCCUGUUGCCGUUGCCACCGCUGCUGAUGCUGCUCCUGCUGCGUCAUGGUAAACGUACGCCGCCAUGGGCGUGUGUGUAUGUGUGUGUUUAUAUGUGUACCCGAAUGUGAUCGAAGGUGUGUGUAUGUUUCUGUGAGGGGUCAGUUUGGUUCCCCCGCAGUCGCCGUUAAAACCGAUGAUGAUGACUCGUGUCUUCAUUCCUGGUUUAUCCGCGACAUACGCCGUUGGCAGCAGCUGUAAAAAAGGAUGUUCCGUGCCGUAUUCUUCCUUUCGUAGAUCUACGCUGUUUAGUACGAGUCAUAACCAUCAUUACAAUCGCCGGAACGCCGCGUGGACUUUGCUCGAUCCAUAUAUUGCUUACUCUUUCUUCUGGCUUUCGUUAAUGGCCGACGAUGCUACGCUGCGUAUGCGCUGUUCAUUUCGGAAUCGGAUUGUCUUAUAAAAUAGUCAACAUCCGGGGACGACACGGUGACAGUGGUAGAUGUAACAGCGCUCGGGGUAAAUGGGAAAUAACUCCUAUUUCAGCUUUUCAUUUUUUGUAGUUGUUGUUGUAUCCAUAAUCCUUUAUCGUAGAGACCCGUUCCAUAUACGAAUUCGCGCCUAAAACGGUGUCUGCGGAACAUCUCGUGGACGGCGUGGUGGCGGCGGCGGCGGCGGCGGCGGCGGCGGUACCAGCAGCAUCAACGAGGGCACCAAAAACCGAUUGAGUAGCAAGAAACACAGGCGAUCGUUAAAAAACGGCAGAUUAGUGUUGCUGAUGGGGAUUAUCAAUGAUCGAGAAGUGCAGCAGUGGAUGCGCACCAAGCAGCAAUAAGUGUGCCUAUGACGCCAUAAGAUCAAGCACGGAACUAGGACGAGUCCUAUCCUCACCUCUUAGGAAACGACGACGUGCAAAGCAAUCAACGGCGGAAGGUAGCUUGAUUGAUUCUAUUCGACGAUUCCGUGGACGUUUCGUAAAAGAGCUUCAAUUCUCCUUUCGUGGAACAGAAAUCAGUGUUGGGCAGCCGUCACAGCAGCUGCUGUUAUAGUAUUAGAAGAUGCUACUAUACGAGCCAUAUAGCGUUUGAAGCAAAAAGAUGUUGCGAGUGAUGAUGAAGUCACACAUAUAUUAUAUUCUGCUUAUUGGUUCGAAACGUAACGCUUCUCAAGAACACUGGUACAAACAAUUUAAAUUGCCAGUAAUCUUGUACCCAGUCUAACAAGUGACGAUUGGGUUCUCAGUCGAGGUGAAUAGCUUCAGAGCUUCGUUGUUCCGUGUUGUUCCAUGUAUAGAUUAUAUCUACUUCAAAGCAGUAUCCUUACAGCUAAUUAUUCAGCUGACUAUCGGGCCCGUGUUACAUCGUUCAGUUUACAGACAGGUAACUAACCUUUGGUAACGUGUAUCCUAGCAUUAUGUUCUGUUGUUAGCUAUUUGCAUUACAUCAUAAACGCGUAUUGAUUUGACUUAGACCGUAUUGCAUCUGACAUAGCCAUCCAUCAAAGUGGGUUACUGUUAUCGCUCAGGGCAGUAGUCGCCCGCCAAUAAGCCAGCCCAAUUACAAUACAUUUAUUUACUUAUGCCAAUAGACGAUUUGCAAUGAGCAAUUCCAUUGCUGUUCAUCAGAUCCCAGAAAGAAAAAGUAUUCCGUAAAAGUUUGACAGUUUCGUAGCAGACAGAACGUUACUAAGCCAAGGUAAUUCGUCGCCCGUAGUUAGCAUAUUGUAGGGCAUGCGAUAGAUAUUGGCAUUAUGAGCCGGCUGCAGUUCACUCUCUGUGCGAUGCCUAUAGAGGCAGUAUGUUUGUACUACUCAGCGCCUCAGAGGCUUUCAUGCGUCCCGCAGUAACGAUCGCAGAGGCAAGUUUGGCUCGAGAAUUUGUUAGAAUCCCACGUCGCGACAUCCCAUCGGCCACUAUUUCGGCUCGAGUUAGACUACGCUAAUGGCGUCAUUGGCAGCAGUAAUCGUCUGGAUUGUCUGAAUUGAGCCUUCUCGACUAAAUCCUCGGUGUAUAACUUCAACGGACCAUAUUUGUGUGUGCAUUUUGGCUGUCCAUGCGCUUUGGCGCCUUCCCCUGCAAAAUAUUAUGAGCCACAAGGAUUGCUCCUCUUCUCUUCGCCCGCCAUCGCUACUGGGUACUAUCCGUCACGACUCCCAAUGGGUUAACAUUUCGACGGAAGCCUAAAAGCGCAAGUUGGGGUAAAGGUCUGAUAUUCUUUGGGAAGCGUCUCCUCGUCGGUGGCACACACGCAGACCGGAGAAACGAAUGAUCGAAACUGAUGACGCUCGAUGAUGACCAGAACGGAGGCGACGGCGGCGGCCUCGUAACACGAAAAGUCAUCGCUUUCGUUGGUGAGAUGGAGCCGUCAUCACGAGUCCGCGGUGGGCGAGCGAUGACGCGUUGAACAGUCGUCCAUCGCACCAAGCAAGGGCAGCAGUGCGAUAGCCGCGGAAUCAUUAUUGAAUUUUCAGUCAAAGGAAAUGAAGCCUGAGAGACUUGGCAAAAGAAGGCAAGCAAAAUAACUAAUUUUGACUCACCAAUCAGAGGCUCGUGACAUUUAGCUGUUCGACUGGAAGCGGACAGGAGGCGACUGAGGACUGCGAAUUCGUGUCCGUUACCGUGAGAAGCAGACGACGACACGGAUGAUGAUAGCAACGUGAUAAACGUGUUGAAACCAGUAGCCUCGAUAGUGGAGCAGGUCUGGUGAAGUUGUUAAUUUCUUUUUGCGAAUCAAACGAUUUGACAAGACAUUGAUUGAAAUGCACCUAUUUUAAACGCUGGCAAAAGCAAUUCUAUUAUUAUGAAUAGGAUCAAGGAAUGAGUCCAACGUAGGUAAAACAAAGACGAAAAAGAACAGCAUAAAAAUUAGCCGAACGUUAACAGCAGUAGGAAAUAUAGAUGAUAGAUUUGCCAAUCUAAAAAAAGUAAUGCGUUUGAAUAGUCUCACAGGUCUUUGUCCGAGUCAUAGGACUGGGCAGGGGAGGUUUCGUAUAACGAAGGUGGGAAAAAGGUACGAGAUGCACCCAGAAAAAAGCAAAAUAUUUCAAUUGAAUUUUAAUCGGCUUCUUUGAGCCCGAUCUUUCACUUAAUUCCUUCUCUUACAGUGUCAACGAUCAUGCUAAAGUACAAAAGAUUAGCUAUGCAGCCAGAUAUAUAAGGUGAACCUUGCCCAACUGUAACACGAAGGGAAAUCAGUCCUGUCGCUCAAUAUGGACAGCAUCGGAACGCCUGUUAUGAAAAAAGAUAUCCGCGAUAACUAUUCUGUUUAUAUAACAUGAAGAUCACGGAUAUGACACAUCAACACCAGUUGAACCUUCGUUCCAUGUGUGAUCCACAAUCCCUCAUGGAAAAUACAACCGAGAAGCGAUAUCCAGCGACACCCAAAUAUUACUAACGGCGCAACAGCUGUUGCCGUCGCGUACGAUCCGCCACAGCGUAAUGGCUGACUUAACUGAUUUUUACGAGAAAACACAAACAUAUUUUUUUAGUGAGGAAGCGGUUUUUUCACGUAAAUUAUUCCUUUUCGUAUAUACCUCUACAUCAAUGCACCGUGCCGUCGUGGGGCUUUCUGUUUUUAUCGCACGUCGUAGACAUGUCUUAUCAAUACAGAUUGACGCAUCUGCAUACGUCGACCGAAAUCCUGCAAGUUUAGAGAUACUUAUUCACUCUAACGUUAUUAUUUUAUUGUCCUAAUAUAGUUUUCGUAUGGUAUAAAUAGAGACGAGUGGGCAGAGGACGAAAACCUACUUGCAGAAGCUAACUAUCUCGUUAGGUCCAUCAUUGAUUUGUCGUGGUCGAGGCGUAUCUCGGAACAAUUUCGCCGCAAUAUAAUGUUAGGCUAGGUAAACGACACAACGGUGUGAGGUUGCUAAUAGCCAAUAAAUUCAAUGGCACAGGGAUGCUCCUAAAUAAUGUCGUCGAACCCAAUGUAGAAGUUACCGUAGAUAGAUUAAAGAAAUGGAAACUCAUUAUGAUUAUAUUUGUCGUAAUGGACAUUAGCAAAAAUAAUAAUAACUACAAAUAAAGUGAUUAUAAUAUAUCGUCACCAAUAUGUUGAAUAGGCUUUUGUGAGUCUUUUGUAAAUAGUUGUCAAUGAUGUCGGCAAAAAGACGCUAUAUAUAAAUAAAACGAUAAAAAUAUUACUGUUAGUAGUAAAAGUAAGGGCCGAUUGGUUGAUACUGUAUGAUGAAAGCAUCUAUGACGUCGCAUGAUGUUUGUCGGCAAUUUUCCAUGUAAGAUAAAAAUAUCUACAACGAUUAGAUCCAGAAUAAUCGAUACAAAGACAUAUAAAAGAAUACCUGAUCAUUUAACCGAUAUAAACACACGACAAACGUCGCCGGAUUCGUUCACCACAGCCGACUGGUGGUCGGCUCUUUGUCAAAGUGCCUUUUUAAAAAUUCUUAUUAUUAAUUGAAAUAUUGUAUACGUAAAGGUACUAGUGUGUGAUUCCCUGUGGAGUAUACGUGUAUGAAUAACGUUGAGUUUUAUGUUUGUGUGGACACGUACCUCUCAAUCGAUGCUGCUCGCGCCGAAUGGCUAGAAGGGCAUGGGUGUCACGUGGGCGCACAGAAAACACGCAGAAACGGGCUUCACGGGGACGCAGCAUUCAUUCAUGAAACGCGACAAAUACGAAUCGAUCAAUAUCAUCGCUACUACCGCUACAAUUUGUCCAAUGGUAAUUGGGUUCUCGAAGUUUUUUUCGAAUAGAUAUUAUCAACGAUAAUGCAACAGACAUUAAUAGGGACUUUAUGUGCGUAUACAAGUGAUUGCAAAGCAAAAGUCAAAGAGACGCGACGCGACGGACUAGAGAGAACUGAUACACGCUUCUUGAUUUACAGCACUAAGCAAAAGAAAAACAUUACGCAGGUAAAUAAUAAUCGGUCACUUUCUUGCUAUUCCAUUUACGGAACGGUAAUUUAUACCUAUCUGUGUGUCGCGACGACAGAAAGGCAGUGAGAGCAAUAAGUACGGCCGUAGGAAUAUGGGCAGACACGAAUAUAGACCGAUACCCGGUGUUGUUGAGCCUAUCUGAGAGCAAGCGAUAAGCAUGUCCUAACCCCAUGUAAACUUACUGGAAAAAAAUGAGGGUAGAAGCUAAUUGUUGUCCACGAUGAACAUAACAAGAUAAUGACAUCAUGUAAGCAAGAGAGCGCUCAAAGAGUUCUAUGAUAUUGAAGAUCAAUGAACAAUUGUAUGCCGAACGGAUUACGGCCAACACUAAUUCGCAUUUAUUCCUAACAAGUACAGAUACCGUUGUAGCUAGUCGGAUGCAUUUAGGGAUUGAAAAAAAUUUCACAAUUAAUGAGGGAACGAAAAUGUGGCGCUAGCGGCGGCACAGGAAAA